GCAGCUGGCCCUGGGGGCGGGCUCCCCCUUCAUCACCAGAGACAGCCCGUCCAGGUGGGACGCUGGUGGGCCGGUAACGAAACAAAAGGUCACGAAUGGAUUUCCUCUUUCCAGGUGCGAGGUGAGAGGGGUUCCAAGGGCAGCCGCCCAGUGGGUGCAGAAGCCCCCGCACCCCGAGUGCCACAGGGAGCUCCGAGGGGCCCAGGCACCAGGCGGGUGCUCCUGGCCCGGUGGGGACAGACGAGGAUGGGCCAGGCCCAGGCUGGGGCACAGCUCAGAGACGCCCCCGCAAAGCGGGACUGGGGGCGAAUCCAAGCCACUUCCGGGCCGGCCGCAGCUCCCGGCGGCCUUCCCAGCACGUGACCAGGAGGUAUAAACUCAGCGGCACGCAGCCCCCGCUGGGCAGUGGGCAGGUCUCAGGGGACGCAGCUGGCAGAGCGAGGGCGGCUGUGCAGACAGGCAGCACCAGAGCCUCACCCUCCGCGGCCCGGAGGGGACUUGGGGCUCUGUGUGGCCAGAGAGCCUGGCCCUCCGGCCUCCUCCCCAAAUCCGCCUGCAGGGGGAUGGAAGGAAACCUGGGCCCCUCGGAACUGGCAGGUCAUCCCGGGUGAGUUACACCGGGAGCACCGGCCAGCCCCUCACUAUGCAGAGGAGAGCAUUUGGGCCAGGACCACAAGUGAUAGGACCGAGACACUGAGCCAAUCGGCUGGCAGUGCAGCCCCCGCCCCGGGCCCAGGGCCCGGCCUUGUCCGGGUCAGAGCCAACACGCAAGGCCAGGCCCUGAUGCCUCUUCCGCUGGAAGAAACCAGCCUGAAGCUCCCAGACCUUUUCCUGGCCAAGGAGCACCGGGGUUCCAGAAAAGAGGAGACACGAAGUCCACCUCGGCCCCAGCCAGGGCCGCCGCGCUUGCCUGCACUCGGCCCACGCACGGUGGGAGGGAGGCCAAGGUCAGCGCUCACCCUGGACAAAGGUCUGGCUCCCUGCCCUGCUGGUUACUAUGGCCACCCUGGCCCUCCCCCGCCUGCCGCCCCCAUCCCGUGAGCAGGCAGGUAGGGCCCGGACUUGGCUGGUUUGAGGACAGAAAACCCCCCAAACAGGGAAGGUCUUAGCGGGCACUUCCCGGCGGGUCUCCUCGGUUUCUGUUCCGGGCGCCUGAGAACCAGGAACUGGCCAGCUUCUGGGGGUACGGGGCUUUCGGAAGAGGGAACCAGUGCCCACCCCACCCGCAGCCACUCCUCCACAGCUGCCCAGGCUCCCAGAGGACUCGGCGUCUGAGCCUCACCUGGCCGGCCCCGGUGUGAGCAUCAACUCCCCGCCCCAGCAGAUCCCCGGGAAACACCCGUCCAGGACCAGGCCUCGCCGCAGUGCAGCCCCCUGAAGGACGACAGUGGCUCACAAACACUUCUCAACGUCCGCGUGCUGGGCGCCUCCUCGCAGGCAUCCCCGCGACCGGGCAGCCCUGCUACCCCACUCCAGGGAGGAGAAACUGAGGCUCAGAGAGGUGGAGUGACUGCCACGCCCUCCUCCCUAGAGAUGUACGGGUGUACAUCCCGAGUCCGCCUACUGCCGCGAGUGCUCAUGGGUAAUGAGAACAGCGACCACGUGGCCUUUCCGUCUGCUGCCCCCGCGCUCCGUUUCCUGCCUGUGCCGCCUCCCCAGGUCGACACCUGUCCAGAAAGGGCCUGUAGCCCAUCGGGUGGAUGAAGAAUCUGGGGCACAGCAAAGUAACGUGUCCAUGCCACACAGCUGGAAAUGGGGGAGCCGGGAUUCAAACCCCAUGACACCUGGGGAAACGCCCUCGGAACUCGGGUCUGCUGCACGGGCCGUCCCAUCAAAGCCGGCAGAGGACAGUUCUGCGUCUGAGGGUCACCUGAGAGCCAGGAGGCCCCUCCACGCCAUCGCCCCGAGAGGAUCCUGAGGCCACAGCUGCAGCGGCUGGCACGGACCCCGUCCCCCAACUCCAAAGCCAGUGCCCACUGCCCUGCACCAGCUGAUGCUCUGGGGCACCUGCCAUCCCACGACCUUCCAGGGCAGGACGGGGACCACCGUCCUGGAGGCACCUGGCCGCAGAGGUGCCGUGAGGGGUACCAGGGGCCCCCCUGCCCACACUGAACUUCUCUCUGCACCUCCUCCUGCCCACGCCCCCAGGGAGGCCUCCAGACCGCCGGCUGGCAAGGUCCUGCCCUGCCUCUCUGCGGGCGAGCUGCACAGCUGACCCACUCUCACACAAUUGGGGUGAUGUGCUGCCCUCCCCCCACUCGGAAAGUGAAUCUGGAGGGCCCCCAGGCCCCCGAGGAGAAGCACUGCCGCGAUCUGCCCGGAGCCUCCCGGCACCGAGGAGCCCAAACCCUCCCAACAUGGAGGCCACACGGGGUUCCGGGGCCAGGCCCCAAGGUGGGGGCGUCAUUUGCACAUGGUUCCUGGACAGCCUCCCUGUGGGGGCUAGGCCCCUCGCAGGGGGCUGAAGGGGGGCCCGGGACACAGUCAGGUCCCUGUGCCUUGGGCUACAGGGGAGAGGACAGCCCUGCCCCGCUCUGUCGGAGGAGCACGCAGCAUGAUGUUGUGCCAGUCCCCCCAUUUCCCAGGGCCCAGGUUUCUCCCGGGUCAGAUAAGGCUGGGAGAGGGUCCCGGGGACUUCUGACCCUCUGCCCCCUUUCUGGUAGGUAGCCACUUCCAUCCUCAUUCGCCUGGGAGGCCCGGGCCUCAGCUCACGCAGCUGGGAAGUUGGGCACCACCCACCCUGUGCUUGCGUGUGAACCCCAGCAGGACAGAGGCGAGGCUGGGGAAGCCCCCACGGCUCCGGAGGGCGCCGGACUCUGGGGCUUGGGUGGGACCUGUCCCAGGGUCGCCUAGUGAGGAUGGGCGGAAAGGCUGUCCAAGAGGGGGCCCUGCCCGAGCGACAGCCCAGAGCGACUGCACCUGUGUGUCUGGGGGGGCCGGUCCCUAAGCAGGCCGGGCCCCAGGAUGUGGCCCAUUAUAUAGGGGAGGGGCCACACCCUAAACCCCAAGCUCCCGGGACGCCUGCAGGAAAACAGAAGGAAUCCUUGCCUCUGGGGAGAGAAUCCACUUCCCCAAGAAGCUGGGAAGGGACGCUGGCCCCUGGACAGCCCCUGCCCUCUGGAGCACCCCCGCAUCGUGGGUGGGGAGAGGAGAGCUGGGGCCCAGGAGGAGCCAGCAGAGGUGGCUGGCACCAAGGGAAAGGAGAGGUGAGCAGCGUGGGAGCCAGCUGCCAGCUGGAUGCUCUGGCCCCGGCCCUGCUUCCAGGCUCCUCUGGUGCCCAGGCUUGGGGGAAAUUCUCUGCCCAUUUGCCAAAAACUCGGGGGGUUUGACUCCCUUUUCAGGCUCCAGUCCUAUGCUUCCUGAGGCCGGACUGGGGAACAGUCUGAUAAGGUUUUGAAUCCCUUCCCACACAUCAGACGCCAGCACACACUCCCUUCACCACCCUCUUUUCUCCCAGAGCUUAAGGCCCCAGAGAGUGGGCCCUGCUCUCCGGCCAGGGCGGCCACCGCCGGCGGGUGCUGGAGGAGAAAAGCUCUGGAGGUCAGAGCUGGACAGGCCAGGACACCCAACCAGCCGCCUCCCUGCCCAGAAGGCAGGGCCUGGCACGGCUGUCAACUCAUCGCCAAAUUCCUGGUCUUGAAA